rnacentral:rRNA from 1 species
AGUGAACGCUGGCGGUAGGCCUAACACAUGCAAGUCGAACGGCAGCACAGUAAGAGCUUGCUCUUACGGGUGGCGAGUGGCGGACGGGUGAGGAAUACAUCGGAAUCUACUUUUUCGUGGGGGAUAACGUAGGGAAACUUACGCUAAUACCGCAUACGACCUACGGGUGAAAGCAGGGGAUCUUCGGACCUUGCGCGAUUGAAUGAGCCGAUGUCGGAUUAGCUAGUUGGCGGGGUAAAGGCCCACCAAGGCGACGAUCCGUAGCUGGUCUGAGAGGAUGAUCAGCCACACUGGAACUGAGACACGGUCCAGACUCCUACGGGAGGCAGCAGUGGGGAAUAUUGGACAAUGGGCGCAAGCCUGAUCCAGCCAUACCGCGUGGGUGAAGAAGGCCUUCGGGUCGUAAAGCCCCUUUGUUGGGAAAGAAAAGCAGCAGGUUAAUACCCCGCUGUUCUGACGGUACCCAAAGAAUAAGCACCGGCUAACUUCGUG